GUUAGGAUGGCCAAGUGGUCUAAGGCACCAGACUCAAGGCACAACCUUGCCCAUGAGCACUCUGGUCUCCACAUGGAGGUAUGGGCUCAAAUCUCACUUCUGACA
rnacentral:tRNA from 1 species